AGCCAGGGUGUAGUGGUUUGAGUAUUGGACUAGGACUCUGGAGACCAGGGUUUGAAUCCCUGUUUAGCUA